AAUAUAAGUGAAUAAAAUACUAAAAUGUAAAAUCCAUUAGUAAUAAAAGUUAAAUGAGAUAAGUAAUGAUUGAUGGACAAAAAUGAUAAAUUGAGAUGAUUAAUGGUGGAAGACAGUUUUUAUUUGUGUCAAGGCUCACAAAUUUUGGGGAUUGGUUUUGCAUAUUUAAUUUUGGAAUAUUAAAAAAAAUACUCGAACUUAGGUGAGUGGCAACGAAACAACACACGAAGGUGAGUGGCAAUUUCAUUAUUGUGACUUUGGUUUAAAAUUUUAAAUUUAUUGUGAUCACAUGGGAGUCACGAAGGUGAGUGGCAAUUUCAUUUUUGCAACUUUGGUCUAAAUUUAAUGAGAUCACAUGGAAUUCUCCGUUUUAAAUGAGAGAUGGAGGAUAAGUGUGACCACACAUUAAUGACUAUUAAUUUGUAUUUUAUCUUUUUGAGUGACACAUACUCAACUUUUGUAAUAUUAAAAACCCUUCAACAAGAAAAUUUUUACCAUCUCUCUCAUUCUCUCUUGUCAAGAUCUGGUUGAUGAACUAAGCUAUUAUCAUCUUCUUCACAAGAAAGUCAACACAAGGCAUCCAAAGCCAAGGAUAAGAUUUCAAGAUUAUGAGCAAAGGGGAAGGAGAAACUGAUUCAUUCACACUUGAUCCAAUUUUUGUUGGAAAAGAUGAUGUGGUAGAGGAGGAGAAGGUAGUCGUAAUUGUCGGAAUGGGCGGCGUUGGAAAUAUAGCUUUAACUAGGAAAGUCAUCAAUCGUAGACCAAAGAUGAAGGCUCGAUUUAUAUUUUUAUAAUAUAUUGAUUCCGUGAUCGUUUUUAAAAAAAUUCAUACAAGAAGAUUUGAAAGAUAAAACUUAUCUUCUUGUACUUGAUGAUGUUUGGAAUGAAUAUAUUAUAAAAAUAUAUGAGUUACUUCCACUAAGGGAAGUAAUAUUAUCAUUAUUUAGGAAUAGGAAUGAGAUUGCCUUAGGAAUAAGAUUGUCUUAUGUUUAUUCUUAGCUUAUCUAAUGAACGGGUCCAUAAUCAAAGCAAAAACUUUUGGACAUGGAAUGUUAGGUCAAAAUUUAAUAUAUUUGAAGAAUAAUAAUAGCAUAAAGAUAUAGGUUUUCCCUUGAUGAUAAUUGGGUUUCACAUGGUGGAGGAGGUGAAAAUAUCUCAAAAAUAUUGAAAUUGGGGCUUUUGAUCAUUUGCCUCCACCAAGUGCUUCUUGUAUUUUUUUGAUGAGAUUGAAGAGAAUGGCAUUGUCCUGGGGUUGGCGAGACAUAGAUUGACACGCCCUCGUACUCAUCCUCAGCCGCGUAUAGCACUCUUGCUCCGGUUGAAGUACUAUUGCCUAGUGAGCUGAUUACUCGAGGUCGAACUGAGGCGUUUAAGCUUGCCUUGCGAGGUUUGGCUAAGGAGACAGUGGGCUCUAAAUCCUUAUGCAAUAGAAGAAACCAUUAGUCCAAGAGUUGAUGAUUCAAAGUCUGUAAAGAGGGAUAUUGAUUCAAAGUUUUAUCACUUGUAUUAGUUUGAAUUCAUUUAGAAUAAGACCUUUCGUUUUGUUAAA